rnacentral:rRNA from 1 species
AAUAGAUACCCCGGUAGUCCACGCCCUAAACUAUGUCGACUAGUUGUUGGGGGAGUCUGUCCCUCAGUAACGUAGCUAACGCGUGAAGUCGACCGCCUGGGGAGUACGGUCGCAAGAUUAAAACUCAAAGGAAUUGACGGGGACCCGCACAAGCGGUGGAUUAUGUGGAUUAAUUCGAUGCAACGCGAAGAACCUUACCUACCCUUGACAUGCCAGGAACCUCGCAGAGAUGUGAGGGUGCCCGAAAGGGAACCUGGACACAGGUGCUGCAUGGCUGUCGUCAGCUCGUGUCGUGAGAUGUUGGAUUAAGUCCCGCAACGAGCGCAACCCUUGCCAUUAGUUGCUACAUUCAGUUGGGCACUCUAAUGGGACUGCCGGUGACAAACCGGAGGAAGGUGGGGAUGACGUCAAGUCCUCAUGGCCCUUAUGGGUAGGGCUUCACACGUAAUACAAUGGCGCAUACAGAGGGCUGCAAACCCGGCGAGGGGGAGCCAAUCCCGAAAAAGUGCGUCGUAGUCCGGAUUGUUCUCUGCAA